AUUAAGGUUCGACUCGAGCGAAAGCGAGAGAACGUUGCCAACGGCAACGGCCCGUAGGGUGAGGAGCGAAGUGACAAAUAAUCCUUCCCCCACCACCA
rnacentral:sRNA from 1 species